GGUCCAGGUCCAGGUCCAGGUCCAGGGUCUGCACUAUGACAGCUGGAGGGACCAGGAUGUGUUGACCGACGGUCUCUGUCGCUACCGGCAACAGCGUGGAGUGUUGCUGGGGCUGGAGACAGACGGACUGGAGACGCUGUCAACCUCACUGUCAGCAGGGCUGUAAACAUGGAGAGUGUGUCGGACCAGACAUGUGCAAGUGUCAACCAGGAUACACCGGCAAGGCCUGUAACCACGAUCUGAAUGAGUGCGGUGUGAAGCCUCGGCCCUGUAAGCAUCGCUGCAUGAACACACCGGGAAGCUACAAGUGUUACUGUGUGGACGGAUACACAGUGCAGCCCGACGGCAGCUGCAGGAAUGCUCGAACCUGUUACCAUGCCAACUGUCAGUACGGCUGUGAGGUCAUGAAGGGGGCGGUCCGGUGCACCUGCCCGUCGCCGGGGUUACGGCUGGGACCGGACAGACGCACCU